GGGGCAAAAUAAUCCCUCCAUUUUUCGGAAGCUGCCGUGGGAAGUAUUUCAUUUUUCUCCUCACCGGAGUCAUUGUAAACGUUAUGCGGUGAGAGGAGGUCCCUGCGGGAAGGUGGUUAAGCGGUCAGGUAAAGAGAAGGAAAGGACACCAAAGUAAGGUGCUGCGGAAGAAUUUUUGUCCAGCUGUGAGAUGACGAGUGCGUGGAGCGAAGGCGAUUGAGAGGGGCCGAGGGACUUGUCCUCUGUGCCAGCGGCUUUCUUUAGGCCCCGGGCCCCUUCCCGCCCCCGUCGUCAGCAGGAAGGAGAAAUCACUAAUUUCCAUGAUUAGAAGAUAUAGAAAAUAGAAAAGUUUCAAGAAAAGAUUAAGGAAUCUUAAUCUUGGCACAGAUCACCAAGAGGGAUGGAAAACUUGAUGACGAGUUCCACUCUCCCACCCCUUUUUGCAGAUGAAGAUGGCUCCAAGGAGAGUAAUGAUCUGGCUACCACUGGGUAAGCACAUGUUUUGGGACACUGGAGCGCUCCAUAGGCAUCAGAACAAAGCUUCCAACCAAAGAGAGGUCGUAAAGAGGCAGUUUGAUAUCAUAAGAAUGGAGGGUGCAUUUGUUUCACUUUGUGAAGAGAGUGACAGCCGUCCUAAACCACUUUGUAAUCUGUAUUCAGUUAUCUUGUGCAGUGCUCUGGGUUUUCUGAACUGGUACUAGCAAACGUUGGUGAC